rnacentral:rRNA from 1 species
AUUGAACGCUGGCGGCAUGCUUUACACAUGCAAGUCGAACGGCAGCGCGGGCUUCGGCCUGGCGGCGAGUGGCGAACGGGUGAGUAAUACAUCGGAACGUGCCCAGUAGUGGGGGAUAGCUCGGCGAAAGCCGGAUUAAUACCGCAUACGACCUGAGGGUGAAAGCGGGGGAUCUUCGGACCUCGCGCUAUUGGAGCGGCCGAUGGCCGAUUAGCUAGUUGGUGGGGUAAAGGCCUACCAAGGCGACGAUCUGUAGCUGGUCUGAGAGGACGACCAGCCACACUGGAACUGAGACACGGCCCAGACUCCUACGGGAGGCAGCAGUGGGGAAUUUUGGACAGUGGGCGAAAGCCUGAUCCAGCAAUGCCGCGUGUGUGAUGAAGGCCUUCGGGUUGUAAAGCACUUUUGGCGGGAACGAAAAGGACUGUGCCAAUACCACGGUUCGAUGACGGUACCCGCAGAAUAAGCACCGGCUAACUACGUG